rnacentral:lncRNA from 1 species
UGUCUCGCUUAGAAUCUAUUUCGAUUCUUCAUUUUAAUCUAGUUGUUUAGAAAAUGGAAAAGGGUAUUUCCUUGUUCUAGGAUCUUUUAUCUUUGCCUUGAAUCAUUGGGUUUAGACAUUUCUUCGGCGAUAUUUAAUCAUUUCAAAAAUGGCAGCAACAUGCCCUUUUUUCUCUCUUUUUUUUUCUAUCAAAGAAUCAUAUGAACGAUUAAUUCCCGCAUCAUACACUUUUGAUCGAAAGAGUUUUACCAAUUCCAACAACUUUUCUUUUUGAUUUGAAAAUAGUUGGAAUC